rnacentral:rRNA from 1 species
CAAGCAAAGUGUACUUCAGUUUGAAUCCCCGAAACUAAGUGAGCUACUUCGAAACAGUCUUAAGGACAAACCCGUCUCUGUUGCAAUAGAGUGGGGUGAUUUCCAAGUAGGGGCAAUAAACCUACCGCACCUAGAAAUAGCUGGUUGCUCGAGAAAAGAAUAUAAGUUCAACCUUAAGUUUAUAAAUUACUUAAAAAAAUCAUAAAACUUAAGAGUUAUUCAAAUAAGGCACAGCUUAUUUGAAGAAGGACACAACCUAUAAGAUAGGGUAACACUUAUUAAUAAGUAACGAGUGGGCCUAAAAGCAGCCAUCUCCCAAGAGCGUCAAAGCUUUCUACUUAAUAAAUACUAAUACCUUAAUUCACCCUCAACCCAUCACCAUUAUUGAGCAAUUUCAUAAAUUUAUGAAAGAUAUAAUGCUAGGACUAGUAACAAGAAACAAACUUUCUCCAAAAUGUAAGCCUAAGCCAUAAUAGAUGACCUACUGGCAAUCAACGUAAGUGAACACAUUAUAGCAACACUCCAAGAAAACCCUAUAUUUCUUAACGUUAACCUUACACCAGAACAUUAAUGGAAUGAUAAAAGAGAGAGAAGGAAUUCAGCAAAAUUCAGCCC